UGGCGGACGGGUGAGUAAUGUCUGGGAAACUGCCCGAUGGAGGGGGAUAACUACUGGAAACGGUAGCUAAUACCGCAUAACGUCGCAAGACCAAAGAGGGGGACCUUCGGGCCUCUUGCCAUCGGAUGUGCCCAGAUGGGAUUAGCUAGUAGGUGGGGUAACGGCUCACCUAGGCGACGAUCCCUGGCUGGUCUGAGAGGAUGACCAGCCACACUGGAACUGAGACACGGUCCAG
rnacentral:rRNA from 1 species